rnacentral:rRNA from 1 species
UACGUAGGGUGCAAGCGUUGUCCGGAAUUAUUGGGCGUAGAGAGCUCGUAGGCGGUUCGUCGCGUCGGCUGUGAAAUCCCGAGGCUCAACCUCGGGUCUGCAGUCGAUACGGGCGGACUGGAGUUCGGCAGGGGAGACUGGAAUUCCUGGUGUAGCGGUGAAAUGCGCAGAUAUCAGGAGGAACACCGGUGGCGAAGGCGGGUCUCUGGGCCGAUACUGACGCUGAGGAGCGAAAGCGUGGGGAGCGAACAGG